rnacentral:rRNA from 1 species
GACGUAGGAGGCGAGCGUUGUCCGGAUUCAUUGGGCGUAAAGAGCACGCAGGCGGUUUGGCAAGUCGGAUGUGAAAACCCGGAGCUCAACUCCGGACCUGCAUCUGAAACUGCCCGACUAGAGGUAGGUAGGGGAGAUCGGAAUUCCUGGUGUAGCGGUGAAAUGCGCAGAUAUCAGGAGGAACACCAAUUGCGAAGGCAGCUCGCUGGGACGUAACUGACGCUGAGACGCGAAAGCGUGGGGAGCAAACAGG